rnacentral:snRNA from 1 species
GUGCUCGCUUCGGCAGCACAUAUACUGAAACUGGAAUGAUACAAAGAAGAUUAGCAUGACCGCUGUGCAAGGAUGACAUGCAAAUUUGUGAAGUGUUCCAUAUUAAA